UACGAAGGGGGCUAGCGUUGCUCGGAAUCACUGGGCGUAAAGCGCACGUAGGCGGUUCGGUAAGUCGGGUGUGAAAACUUUGGGCUUAACCCAAAGACUGCACUCGAUACUGCUGUGACUUGAGUCCGGUAGGGGAGUGGGGAAUUCCUGGUGUAGCGGUGGAAUGCGCAGAUAUCAGGAGGAACACCGGUGGCGAAGGCGCAACUCUGGGCCGGUACUGACGCUGAGGAGCGAAAGCGUGGGGAGCGAACAGG
rnacentral:rRNA from 1 species